ACGCACGGUACGUUUCGAUUCGAGAAACUUCUUCCAUCGAUACUGGAAAUAUACGGUUAGCGUUUACGAGGAUUCACGUCCUAUAGUUUUAAGAAUAGACGGACGAGCGUCGUUGCACGUUGCCAGCAGCGAAAACGCAACGUAGCCAGGUUAAAAGAGACGAAGGGAAAGGCAGGUCAAAGCAGCGACGCACUGGCCAGGUGCGCAGACAUUCCACUCGCUUUGCGGUACGCUCGCCCCGCUUCCCCCGACCACGAUUAUUUUCCACCUGGAGCGCCACGUUUUACUUCUUUAUGGCGGACCGAGCGAUAGGAACGCAUACGGAUGCCCGAUUGGAGGAGGUGCGACAAGGAGAAGGUGGAAGGUGGUGAUCGCGAGGAAACAAAAAUGGCGGCUAACCGAAGCGCGCUUCUUCCGAGUUAUAAAGAGGCUCUAUAACCGAUCACAGAGUUUACGUCGAAUCGACUUAGGAAGGAGAACGAAAGAGAGCGAAGGAAAGCUAACGAACAACAGGUUGGCACGUUGAACGUGUGGGGUGGGAAGACGGGAGAAUGAGAAGAGCUACGUAGAGACAGAGAAGCAGAAAACGGGAAAGCAAUCAUCGUUGGAUUUGGUAGGAAUAUCCGUAGAAGCGAAAUGCUUAGCGCUAUGUAAGAGCGACGACGUCGUGACAGGGAGACCGGAUUGGUCGGUCACCUGUUGCCUGCCUGCUGUGAUUGGUCGGGCUCGACAGCGCGUAACGACGGCCAGAGGAGGACAAGUGCACCGUCCGCUGGUCUAUGAUGGACCAACGUCGAAAAUGGGCAUACUCGUAUAUGUAUACGAUGUAAACUUUUGUCCUUGCUCGCGCGAACAAAUCAACUACGUUGUUAUUACGAUACCUUUUUGUUGUUCGCCAUUCACGUAAAUUCGUUCUUACGUUCGAUACGUACGUUCUACGUGCGCACAUAUCGGAGCGGACAUUAUUGCUUCGACGUUUAUUUACGCGCUUGGUCUUUAACUGCAUUCUACGAUAUAAAUAUUUAUCAGCGUUACCUUCGAAUUAUUUACGUUUCUUAAAUAAAGGUAAAGUUUAAAUACCUAUGCGGUACGAGAGAUAAAGAAAAGAUAUACGUACAUACGUAUACGUACAUAUGUCUAAUGCGACAGCGGGUCUAAUAUUUGCGAUAUGACUAUCGUGAAACGCGAAAUUAUAAAUGGACGUUGCGUGUACGACGGCAUGUAAGACGGAAUAACAGGGACGAAAUCCUUGUACGCGCGGCGGAACAGGUGUACAAAGUUCGCGCGAACGGACGAUGGGAAUCGCGCGAGACCAAAGUCUACGCUCGAGGAGCAAAGUCUGCGCGGACGAUGGAAGGAAAGCCGGUUCGCGAUAUCGGACUCUGAACUUUUCGCGUUACAUUCGUAUUACUUCUGUGUUGGCGAAUGUUACGCUGUUCGAGAAUAGACGCGAAUAUUAAACGUCCCGUGUAUAUUCCUAAUACGUAGAGUUCCGACGAUUCUGUUUUGCCCGAAAGAGGCGAGAAUCGAGCGAAUAAACGUUCGAACACGACCGUAAUGGUCUCUACGAAACUCGUUAUUCUCUUAGUCGAUAAAAUGGACGCGAUAAAGGCGGUUGAUUUAUUCGUCGAGCCUUCGAUGGUCGCUCGUAAACGAAGCAAAGGCGCGAGAGGACGAUACGAAAAAGAGAACUCGCUCGAAUUAGGGACACCUGCCAAACGACACCUGCUGCUUCCUAAAGCGCGUUUGAGUUUUCUCCGGACAAAACUACGAUAUUAUUUAAUCGGUGUAAUACAAACGAACGAUAACGUUGCGAUGGAAAGUUAGCUCGAAAGAGAAAACCUGUAUUAAAAGAACAAAUUCUGCUUACAUAUCGAUAUAAUUAUAAAUAUAUUACGACAGGGUCACCGUAUAGCUUAACCUAGUGACGUUCGCCAGCGUGAAAUUAAUCUACCGCUCCGAUGCAUAUCGUAUCUCGUUUCGGUAAUAACUUUGAUAUUUUGUUAUUUCGUCGAAUUAACAGGCCAAUAAGAGACCGAUAACGUAAAAUAAAAUCUGACACGCGAUUCGAAAACACUCGGAAAUUUCUUACUGGACCGAAACGACAUCGGUCGAUCUUUUUUCUUGAAUCGUCUCGAGAUAUUACGUCGCAACAGCUAGGCUGCCUAUACCUCGCAGGAUGAAACAAUUCGUUUUGGAUGCUCUUUCACGAGAGAGACGGAGAGAGGGAGAGAGAGGGAGAGAGAGAGAGAGAGAGAGAGAGAAAAGGAAGGGGAGCGGAUUCACCGUUGCACAGAACUUUCUCCCCGGCAAGGAUUAUAUUUGUGCCUUUCGUAGCCGUACGUAACUUUCAAACCAUCGCAAAUCACGAUGCUUCUUCCGCGAUGAAUCGCGUUCCUCGUAUUAUAUUUAAAUCGUUCAACGUCGUUCGAAUCCAACGAAGAAUAGACGUCGAAGAUGCGUUCCGAACGAUAAGUCGUUUAAGAUUCUUUCGACCGAUCGAACGAAGGAUAAAAUGAAAUUUCUAAUACGGAAAGACAGCCAUGAAAGAAGAGUAGUAUCGCGAUAGAGGAAAGGACGCGAGAGCAAGGUGAGAGAGAAGAAGACAGAACUGGUCGCUGACCCGCUCGGAACGUUGACUCCAUGUAGUCAGUCCCCUCUUUAUAUUUUCUUCCAUCCCACUUGCACCAUCUUACCGUACCUUCGAUUAUAGCCACAAGUUACCUUACUUUACUUUGCGUUACUUUACCAUGUCCGCCUUUCUUUAUUCGCGGUUACGAUCGCUAUAUUCUCGGACUUAGCGUCUUACCGAUAACUCUCUUGCCUACUUCUCCUCGUUUCUCUUCCCGUUUAGCCGAUUCUUUUCCAUUUGCCUUCGCUCCAUGUAUUCAUCUUCCGUUUUCUUUCUUUCGAAUAUAUUCCAUCCGAUGUAUAACGUAGAUCUGACAGAAUCAAUCUCAAGAAAAUUUCCAUUUAUUUUGCUCUAUUUAUUGAAAAUUAAUUGCCAGCUAAAGUAACUGUAAAACUUUAUUCAUUUAUUUAUCCUAUUUUAGUUGAUCUCUCAUUCGUAUAGACUGCAAGUUAUUACAUACGUAGAUACGCGAUAGUUAAGUAUUUAGAUAUCUAAUAUCGUAGAUUAGUAUUAUAUUACGAACGAUGCAUAUCAUCAGCAUCGAACAAGUGCCGUUAGGAUUAUCGUCCUUGCAUAAGCUUUCUAAAUAAGAUCCGAGCCUUUUAUGGUUACGGUAUAUGCUUAUCUUCCAUUUCUCGGCAAUUAGAAAAUAAGUCAAUUUCUAAAUCAUCGAAAGUCAAGUAUAACGGUCAUCUCAUCGUCGUUAUCCGAGUAUAGCUUUAGUAUCGUUAGCGAUUUCAUAAAAAUUUGUCCCAAGCUAAAUUUAUAUCGAUCCUUCGUCCUACGAAUUAUAAGACGAGACAUUACUGCGUAAGUAAUCUGUUAUAUUUGUAAGGGCAAGAUGUCUUGCGCGCGUAUUUAUUUUCACUUAUCAAUGAGUUAACGAGAUUCGUGAAAAUAUUUAUUUCGGGAAACAAAUAAAAAUAACCAAUUAAUAAAUAGCGUGACACAAGUUAAGUAGUAUAACCAUAAAUAACGGUAAUAAAGAAUAAUUUACUAGCGCAACAAGAUAAAUACAUAUUUUCGUUUACCGAGUUCUCAUUUACGCUUAUACACAUAAAUGUAUUUUCCAUAAUUUGAUUGUGGAAAAUGCGUAUAAAAAAUUUGCGACCACAACCGAUAAUGUUUCAAAAAUCGACGUAUUUUCGGUACAAUAUGAUCAAACGAUAUUACAUAAUUAGGAAUGGUAGUAUUUUUGUUACCGCUAUAAUUUUCAUCGAGCCACUGCAUU